UGCUCCUUGCCGGGGUGGGGGUCGUUACCGAGUGGGAACUUCUGCAAAUCCUGACUUUUGUCACUUCGCGCCCCGCACAAGAUGUCCUGCCGGCGGUGCGAUUGGUCCCGUUGCUUCGAGGGGAAACUGAGGCCACUUAGUCCGGGCACUUACCCGCAGCUAGUUAAGGACUAGGCUCUGAUGGAGACGCUUGUUACGACCUCAAUGGCCUGUAGAAUCUGGGAGGCCGCCUCCGACCUAAGCCCAAAAAGCACAUGAUCGGGCUCACAGGGGGCGGCCAGAGGUGAAAACAGCCAACGCUUUACAACGACGCUGUGCGGGGCACUUCGUGUGUGUCAUCCCGUCUCAUCCUCGGGUGAUAGGAACUGUUCAUUCGGGAAAAUUGCAAACAACUAAAUACCCCUCACCAGGAGCUGGCCCAUUAUAGCAACUCUGAGACCUCUCUACCGCAGGCUCUUAAAAUGGGGGAAGAAACAGAAGUUCUUGGCCAUGGUGUGACAGUGACACCGAGAGAAGCCCGAUUCACUCCCAGGUUUCUGCUCACAGGUCACCUGGCCAGGGAUGCCCUCCCUGACCACCCUGAAUGCAACAGCAACACCGACCCUGCCUGUGCAGUGGACACUAUACUGCUCUUACCCUUCCUGGUUAUUUGUUACUGCUCACCUGGUUACUGCUUACCACAUUUGGUUAUUUGGUAUCCCUUCCCAUGAGGGGAGGGAUUUUGUUUUGUUCACUGCGACAUCCCCAGAAGCUACAACAGUACCUGGCAUAAGUUUUCAUCCCAACAGAAUUUUUCUGAGGAACUUGAUAUACAAAUUCUAUAAUUUAUAUUGGAAGAAUGAAGAUACAAGAAUAGUUUUUCUUUCUGCACAAAAAGGAUAAAGAAGGAGCACUCACCAGAUACCAAGGCGUGCUACAAAGCCAUGUGAUUCUGUCCAAGCUUAACAGUGGAUGUAACUGCUUCUUUGCUGUGGCAGAUUGUAUUUUCUGAAGGCCCCAACAGUCUCUCCUGUCCCUCCUCCUCUUCUGAAACCUUGAUACUUCCCUAUGAAGAGGUAGGGUCUAAUACUUCCCUCCUUCAACCUGAAGCCCCGCCUUGGGCUUGUGACUUGCUUGUAACCAGUCAAAUACAGUGGAAGAGUUACUACGUGACUUCCAGGGCUAGGUCAGAAAAGGAUGCAGCCUCAGGGUUCAACACACACUUGGGCCUGGAGCCACCAUGCAAGAAGGCUGCCAUGCUGCGAGGGAGCAAAGGCACGUGGAGGGACAUACACAGGGGCUGUGGCUGGCAGUCCUGGCCUUUGAGUCAUCCUUGUUUAAGUGCCAGGCACACACGUUAACUACCUUUAGGUAAUUCCAUACCUCAGGUGUCAUGUCACCCCAAGCCCUUGAGCCUUCCCAUCUGAAGCCCCAGGCUGUAUGGAGAAGAAACAAGAUGUUCCUGCCACGCUCUUUCUGAACUGCUGACAUACAGAAUCUGUGACCAUAAUAAAAUGGUUGUUUUGUGCCAUU
rnacentral:lncRNA from 1 species